UUUAAUUCCGAAAUAGUACAUUAGAAGUGAGCAACAAGGGCUACUUCAAUAUCGAAUAUCUAAAACCCUCGAAUCCCCACAUUCUACUCUGGAUUUUGGAUUUGUCUUGCCUUUGUUCUGGUUUAUUCACUAAAGGGCCCCUCCCUUUGGGUCCCAGUGCCCAAUCUUUUCUUUUUGUUAUUUUCCUUCUCAGUUCUUCAGCACAGGAACUUUGUAUUUCCUUUUUCAUCACUGUAUUUGCUGUGGCUUGAUUGCCCCCAAGGCCCCAUGUUAAGGACCUGGUCCCUGGCAGCACUGGAGCAUGAGGGUGGGUGGAGGUCAGGAGGCCAACAGCUGUAUACCGAGGGAGCUCCUGGAUUAUGAACUCAGCCUGCAGCACAGUGGCCCAGACAGAUGCAGGACCUGCGCACUGAGCUGCAUGUACAGUCAGCUGUUUGUUCAUUCAUUUCUAUUUUGAAAGAGGGGCUCACUAAGUCAUAAGGCUCGGUGUGUUAGUUACUUUUUUCUUGUGGUUGAGACAAAAUACCCAACACUCAUAAGUUAAGGAAGGAAAGGUUUAUUUCAUCCAUAAAUGGCUGGCUCCAAGGCAGUUUAACUUGAAACAACAAGCUUUGGCCACUGCUUUUUCUGUGCCUUACAUUUUACCCAGGCUACUCAGGUAGGCAGCACUCACACCUUUAAUGCUAGCAUUGUACCACAUCAGUCCCAGUGUCAUACACUCCAGAUCCAGCUAUCUCUGAAAAGCCCUAUCUCUGACUGCAUGAGGCUUUGGGGGGACAUCUAGACACAGACUAUAACACUGGGCUUGAAUUUGCAGUUCUCCUGCUUCAGCCUCCAAGAAUUAUGGGAUUAUAGGUGAGCAGGUGAGUGCCACUGCUCCUGAUUAAACCUUUUUUUAAAACCAGGAAUCAAACUCAAGACCUUGUGCAGGAACUGUGCCACUAUAUCUCUGACCCCUAAACCUUUUUUGGGGGGAAGGGUAUUAGAAAUCAAAAUCAGGACCUUAUGCUUGCCAGGCAGGAGCUUGUGCUGCUGAUCUACAUCCCCAGCCCUUCUUUUUUUUUUUUUUAAUAAGUGAAUUCCAAAAAGCAUUUUGUUAUUGAGACUGAAAAACUGACAAACACAAUAAUCAGUCACAGUUAAAUUUUGCCCUGGCCGGGGAUAUAGCUCAGCCACACAGCCUUGCAAGUGCAAGGUCCUUACUUUGAUUCCUAGUACCAAAAGGAAAAAAAAAAAAGCUAAAUUUUGCUCUCACCUAAGAAAAAGAAAUUUUUCUAGACUGUUUCAAAGAAUGAUGUAGAUAAAUUCCCAGUCAAGGUGAGGUAGUGCACACCCAUAAUACCAGUACUUGGGAGGCUGAGACAGGAAACUCCUUGGGAGUUCCAGGCCAGUAUGAGCUACAUAGUGAAAAUAAGGCCAGCCCAAGCUACAAAACAAGAUCCUGUUUCCAAAACAAACGAGAAAAAUAGAAUAUAAAUUCCUCAUGAAACUGGGAGUUUGCUGUAGUUCACUACAAUGUGCAACACAUCACCCAGGAUUCUUUUGAAAAACACUUUCAGGUCUCAGCCUGAGUUUCAGGAUGUGACAAGUCAAUACUGAGAAGUCUCCGGCUGAUUCUGAAGUCCAGAAAAGUGUUGCUGCUUCACCAUCUGUCCCCUGCCUCGCUGGGUGUGGUUUCUCCACUUUAGCCACAGCCAGCAGCAGCUGGCUGCGCUCUGGUCCUGUGUGCCCAGACAGCAGGGGCAGCAAAGAAGAAAAGCACACUCUGCCUGCCUCCAGGAUGCAAACCGGACGAAAAAGGGAGCAGAAGUGGAGAUUUUAAAACAGUCAGUUACCACCAUGUUCCAGCGUUCCCUUUAGUAGGAUGCAGAUUGAAAAAAGACCUUUCUUAAGGCUCCUCGGCCCCCAAUUCUGAGAAACAGGCAAUAGCAGACACCGCACCAAUACACAUAAGGCACCAUAUAGAGAGCCUCAUAGACCAAUUCAGGAAUGAAGUUAUCAACGACCUGAAGCUAGAAGUAUGCAGAAUAGUUAGAGAAAUGCUAAGUACCACCCAAGAGAAAACAGGUGGUGGAAUGGAAGAACAGAAAAAAAGGGGAGAAUUGUUUGAUGGAGAAAACAGAGAAAGCAUAGAAUACGUGAAGCAGGUUCAAAGGGUCUACCAAGAUACUAAGAAGUCUAUAGAAGACUGGCAUAACAGCUUGAAAGAAACUAAGCACAGACUAUCUGAACUGGAGGGCAGACUUGUAAUAUGGGAGAAUGAAAUGAAAAACUUCUUAAAAAUAACAAAGAAACAAACAGCAAUAAUACAAAGACAAGAA